AGAGUUUGAUCAUGGCUCAGAACGUACGCUGGCGGCACGCCUAACACAUGCAAGUCGAACGAAGUAGCAAUACUUAGUGGCAGACGGGUGAGUAACAUGUGGGUAUCUNCCCUUUGGCCUGGAAUAACACGAGGAAACUUGUGCUAAUACCGGAUAAGUCUUAACGGAGAAAGCUUUAUGCACCAUUGGAUGAGCCUGCACUUGAUUAGUUUGUUGGUGGGGUAAUGGCCUACCAAGACUGUGAUCAAUAGCUGANUUGAGAGGAUGAUCAGCCACAUUGGGACUGAGACACGGCCCAAACUCCUACGGGAGNCAGCAGUGGGGAAUCUUGCACAAUGGAGGAAACUCUGAUNCAGCGAUGCCGCGUGAGUGAAGAAG
rnacentral:rRNA from 1 species